AUUGAACGCUGGCGGCAUGCCUUACACAUGCAAGUCGAACGGCAGCGCGGACUUCGGUCUGGCGGCGAGUGGCGAACGGGUGAGUAAUACAUCGGAACGUACCCUGUUGUGGGGGAUAACUAGUCGAAAGAUUAGCUAAUACCGCAUACGACCUGAGGGUGAAAGUGGGGGACCGCAAGCCCUCACGCAGCAGGAGCGGCCGAUGGCUGAUUAGCUAGUUGGUGGGGUAAAGGCCCACCAAGGCGACGAUCAGUAGCUGGUCUGAGAGGACGAUCAGCCACACUGGGACUGAGACACGGCCCAGACUCCUACGGGAGGCAGCAGUGGGGAAUUUUGGACAAUGGGGGCAACCCUGAUCCAGCAAUGCCGCGUGUGUGAAGAAGGCCUUCGGGUUGUAAAGCACUUUUGUCCGGAAAGAAAUCGCGCUGGUUAAUACCUGGCGUGGAUGACGGUACCGGAAGAAUAAGCACCGGCUAACUACGUG
rnacentral:rRNA from 1 species